rnacentral:rRNA from 1 species
AGAAGGUAUCCUUCUGGCAAGGGUACUGUACUAAACUAACUAAAGUGGGGGAUAGUGAGGGGAUAAAUUUUCUUAAGGAACUCGGCAAAAUCCCAAUGGCCCACCAGGGCAUAUUGGAACACGGGCCUCGACUGUUUACCAAAAACAUAGCCCUCGGCUAAUAUGAAAAUAGAUGUAUAGAGGGUGAUGCCUGCCCAAUGGUUGUAUCUAAAAGCGGUUGAUAAAAGUUGACCUCGUAAGGACAAUUGAAUGGCCGCGGUAACACUGACCGUGAUAAUGUAGCGUAAUCAAUAGCCAAUUAAUUGUUGGCCAGUAUGAAUGGCGCCACGAAGGCCCCACUGUCUUAAGGAAAUUCCCAGUGAAAUUGAAUUCGUAGUGAAGAUGCUACGUCCAAUUUGUUAGACGAAAAGACCCCGUUGAGCUUUACUGGAGCACUUACAUGGCCCCGGCCUUCCCAUGCCUGGGAACCGGCCGAAUUUAAAUGGGCGGCUUAGAUUAUGUGGCAGCCCCCCGCUGGGGCAAAUGAAACACCACUCCCCCAUGUCAAAGGGGCUAACCCCCCCCCCUUGGGGGGACAGUGUAAGUAGGACAGUUUGGUUGGGGCGACCACCUUUUAAAAAGUAACGAAGGUGCGCUUAAGGUGCGCAAUUAAUGACUGAAGCCUGACUGCGAGGGGGACACCCCGAGCAGACACCCCAAAGCCCGCCCGAAAGGCGGCGGUGGGGUGGGCCAUAGUGACCCGUUAAUUUAGAGUGGAAUAGUUAACGAUCAACGAAUAAAAGUUACCACGGGGAUAACAGCGUAAUAUCGUUAGAGAGUUC